GUAAAAACAUGUUCAUGCAUCAACUUUCAACUCAGCAUAACUUUCAAGAUACUUAACCAUUUGCAUCGAUUCAAAGCUCAACAUGUACAUGGUGAAAAGAUCUAUAAGAUGUAUUACAUGAUUUCGCGAAUGGUUAAAUGCGAAUUUUACCUGUUCUUGCAAGGCAGCAGUGACUCAGUGGUUUUCUGGCAGUGGUGGAUCAAAA
rnacentral:lncRNA from 1 species